UACGUAGGGGGCUAGCGUUGUCCGGAAUCAUUGGGCGUAAAGCGCGUGUAGGCGGUCCGGUAAGUCCGCUGUGAAAGUCGGGGGCUCAACCCUCGAAUGCCGGUGGAUACUGUCGGGCUAGAGUGCGGAAGAGGCGAGUGGAAUUCCUGGUGUAGCGGUGAAAUGCGCAGAUAUCAGGAGGAACACCUGUGGUGUAGACGGCUUUCUGGACCAUAGCUGACGCUGAGACACGAAAGCGUGGGUAGCAAACAGG
rnacentral:rRNA from 1 species